GGCUACCACAUCCAAGGAAGGCAGCAGGCGCGUAAAUUACCCAAUCCUAACAUAGGGAGGUAGUGACAACAAAUAACAAUGUGGAGCUUUUUAAGUUCUGCAAUUGGAAUGAGUGACAAUCAAAAUUCGUUUACAAAAGCUAGUAGUGGGCAAGUAUGGUGCCAGCAGCCGCGGUAAUACCAUCAUUACAAGCGUAUAUUAAAAUUGUUGCAUUUAAAAAGCUCGUAGUUGAAUAAUAGAUAGAAGAAAUGU
rnacentral:rRNA from 1 species